rnacentral:rRNA from 1 species
AUGAGAGGACAAUUUCGUGGGUUGCAAAGGUUGGUACUAGAUGAAAAUCCUUAUGCAUUUUAUAUUCAUUGCUUUGCCCAUCAGUUGCAGUUAGUGGUUGUUGUUGUUGCCAAGUGUUGUUCCUCUGUAUUGGAUUUCUUUAACCACAUAACUUUGAUUGUCAACACCGUUAAUGCUUCUUGUAAGAAGCACGAUGAACUAGCUCAAGAACAACAUGAUAAUAUUGCGAGUCAAUUGGAGUCUGGGGAAAAAUAG